rfam:Picea glauca, whole genome shotgun sequence.
CUCUAGGAUCUUCUAAGAUCCACAAAAUCCUCCUAAUAUCUCUAACU